AACGAACGUUGGCGGCGUGGAUUAGGCAUGCAAGUCGAACGCGAAUCCCUGGGCAACUGGGGAGGGGAGUGGCGAAAGGGGCAGUAAGGCGUGGGUAACCUACCCUCCGGGCCGGGAUAGCUUCGGGAAACUGAAGGUAAUACCGGGCGACGCAGCGAGAUCGCAUGGUCUUGCUGCCAAAGGUCCGCCGCCGGGGGAGGGGCUCACGUGGUAUUAGCUAGACGGCGGGGUAACGGCCCACCGUGGCAAAGAUGCCUAGCAGGUGUGAGAGCACGACCUGCGCCACUGGCACGGAGACACUGGCCAGACACCUACGGGUGGCUGCAGUCGAGGAUCUUCGGCAAUGGGCGCAAGCCUGACCGAGCGACGCCGCGUGUGCGAUGAAGGCCUUCGGGUUGUAAAGCACUGUCGAGGGGGAGGAAGCCGCAAGGUUGACCUAUCCCUGGAGGAAGCACGGGCUAAGUUCGUG
rnacentral:rRNA from 1 species